AUACGUAGGGUGCGAGCGUUGUCCGGAAUUACUGGGCGUAAAGAGCUCGUAGGUGGUUUGUCGCGUCGUCUGUGAAAUUCCGGGGCUUAACUCCGGGCGUGCAGGCGAUACGGGCAUAGCUUGAGUACUGUAGGGGAGACUGGAAUUCCUGGUGUAGCGGUGAAAUGCGCAGAUAUCAGGAGGAACACCGGUGGCGAAGGCGGGUCUCUGGGCAGUAACUGACGCUGAGGAGCGAAAGCAUGGGUAGCGAACAGGAUUAGAUACCCUGGUAGUCCAUGCCGUAAACGGUGGGCGCUAGGUGUAGGGGUCUUCCACGACUUCUGUGCCGUAGCUAACGCAUUAAGCGCCCCGCCUGGGGAGUACGGCCGCAAGGCUAAAACUCAAAUGAAUUGACGGGG
rnacentral:rRNA from 1 species